AUAUACGUUUUGUUUAACGUUUUUUUUUUCUUUGUACGUGUUUCUUCCACGUACGUCUUAUACAACGUUGCCGGAACGCAAAAACGUGUGGAGACAUGUUCAAGGUUACCAAUUAAAUUGUUGGAAAGAGUGAGGGAAAACUAUCUACUUCAUCUACGUUUCCAAUAUAACAUUAAUAACUGCAAACAUCACCAUUUGGCGAUCAGUAUUGUAUCAGUCGCUUGUUUGAACAGUAUUGGCAUUACUCUUAAGCUACGUACAAUGGUAAACUAUUACGUUCUGACCGAGGCGUGUGAAAAGUCAGCGUCUUCGAAUAUACGAUAUACGCCACGCCUACUGGGCAGAAGGUGCUAACCUCAACUUCCUACAAAUGGAUUGACGUAGCGAUGAACGUGGAAUUUGUUUCCUGCUCGGUGAAGAUAUUGUUCGGCAAUAUAAGCGGCAACCGUAGUGUUUUACCAUACAGAACGUGGAGAGCUCUGUUCGAGAGUCGUGCAAAUUUCGAGCGAUUCGCCCAAUUAACGGAGACAUAAUCAUCGUUAACGAUUUAUGACCUUAACGUGCAACUCAUGAAAUUGCGUGAUGAAAGUAUUGUUAAGUCAUCUUUACUAGACGUAUUUAUCUCAAACCUGCUACCAUGCUAUUCAUGUUUGAACUAGAACACACUGUGGAGUACGUAUAUUAUACGCUGCAUCAAAGCAUUGCCACCGCGACUGAGAAAUUUAAAUAUUUCGUAACUUUUUUACGUCGAAACUUUGCCAUGAACAAGCAAGACGCGACAGAAUUGUUGCGCAAAUCUUACAACAAGAGUUCGCAAAUCGAGUGCAAAUUAAUAGCCUACGCUAUUGAUCGUAUUAUAUACGAUGCAUUAACUACUUAAUAGAAUGAUUGUACACGAUGUAUUAGAUACUCAAUAAAAGAAUGUAUUUUAAAACGU
rnacentral:lncRNA from 13 species